AAAUAAUCCCACACUAAAACCCACCCCUAAAACCAAAUGCCAGACCUUCCAGGAGCUAAGUCUUCAUCAAGCAAAAUCCUUAUUGGAAGAAUGCAACGAAAUCAAUGAAACAAUUAGGCUCCCACAUGCUAUACACAAAGUAGAACAGGUCACUAUAUCAAAGAUAGCAUUGAGCACUAAAUCAAUUCCUCCUUUAUUUGGCAAAAUUAUGCAGCAAAUACACUGGUUACUAAAGAAUUGGUUAUCAUUAACUAGGAUAAAACCAUCAUGGGAAAACUUAGUAAGGAAAAAGAGUACCCAAUUUAUAAAGCCAAUGAGAAAUUUCCAAGGAGGUUUACAAAGAGAUAAAUAAUCCCACACUAAAACCCACCCCUAAAACCAAAUGCCAGACCUUCCAGGAGCUAAGUCUUCAUCAAGCAAAAUCCUUAUUGGAAGAAUGCAACGAAAUCAAUGAAACAAUUAGGCUCCCACAUGCUAUACACAAAGUAGAACAGGUCACUAUAUCAAAGAUAACAUUGAGCACUAAAUCAAUUCCUCCUUUAUUUGGCAAAAUUAUGCAGCAAAUACACUGGUUGUCCAACCCUCAAACGACAAGCACUCUGAAUGAACUUUUCUAAGCCAAAGAUCCAACUCUGCUCAACCA
rnacentral:lncRNA from 1 species